AAGCCGAGUAGUUCCCACAUCGGCAAACUAUUCUUUCGCCUUUUACUAAAGAAUACCGUGUGUUCGUUGCAUACACCGGCAUACGCCUAUUUUUGGAGGAUUUUCUCUUCGUAGAGAAAU